UGUGCCUACGGGGCGCAGCAGUGGGGAAUAUUGCACAAUGGGGGGAACCCUGAUGCAGCGACGCCGCGUGGGUGAAGGAGUAUUUCGGUAUGUAAAGCCCUAUCAGCAGGGAAGAACAAUGACGGUACCUGACUAAGAAGCCACGGCUAACUACGUGCCAGCAGCCGCGGUAAUACGUAGGUGGCAAGCGUUGUCCGGAUUUACUGGGUGUAAAGGGCGUGUAGCCGGGCUGACAAGUCAGAUGUGAAAUCCGGGGGCUCAACCCCCGAACUGCAUUUGAAACUGUUGGUCUUGAGUAUCGGAGG
rnacentral:rRNA from 1 species